AAAAAACAAAUAAAGAAAAAUGAAAAAACAAGAAAAUUGUGUGUUUCAAGUGGCUAGGGUUACAUUGUGACAUUCUGUCUCUUUUUGAAAUCAACUCUCCUCCCUCUCCAAACUCAUCCGCCGCUCUUCUUCUUCAACGAAUACGCCGCUCUUCUCAUCCUAAUGUCAUGGCGACUAUGUCCGGCCACCACACCAUGAACAACUGUGUUCUCUUUUUUCCAUUUAUGUACCUCUCCUCUCAUCUCUUCUUCGAUUCAACCUCCUUCUUCUAUCUAAACAGAAAUUGCAGAAAGAAAACAAAACAGAACAAUGCACACCGCAUGCUACAGAUUCACAAUUUGGAUCUUCAUGCUUCAAGUCGCACAAAAAUAUGGAAAAGACGAAGGAUUUUAAGGCUUAACUACCGGAGUUCGUCCGGUGCAUCUUCAACCGUGAUAAAGAUGACGAGAAAACCAGAGAGACAGAGAGAGGAAGAUGAAUAUUGUUGUUGUUCACGUUGA